UUUUUGGUGUUGAUGAGAAUCUUGAAGUUGGAGUGUCAAUCUUGCACUAUUUGGAGUUGAUCUAACACUGCAUUUUCUUAAAAAUGUUAAAUUUAACACUGGAUCAUGAUAGUGUUGUAGUUAAAAUGGAGUGUUGAAAAUGUUCAAAUCUUGUUAGUGUCACAAUAAAGACAUUCAACACUUCUACACCCCAUUUAACACCUAACAGUGUUCACGUGUCUUAAGCUCCGCCCACGGACAUUUCAUUUAGACUCCACCCCUCACUUCAUGUUGCUGAUGGAAGAAGUUGACAAUUAGGAAUCAUUUUGCAUCAGUAGGUAAGUAAACGUUUAAAUAGAUGAACUAAUGAAUUGUGUUGUACCUUGUUUACACAUAAAAAAACGUUACUUUUUGGUGUGAUAUUUAAUACUAAUAAACUGAGGCAGCUGUUUCCACCCAAAGCCUUUGCUAAUGUUACCUCGUGUUUUUGCUAAGUUAUAUUUUCUAUUUAGUGUUGCUGUGAGCUGAAUCGGCACUACCUGUGCAACAUUUGGCAAAGUAAGUGAACGCUACGUUACAUCUUCAUUAUACUGUCUUCAAUUUGAAUGAGCUAAUGGCUAACUAGCUAAUUGGCACGAGGAGCCCCCACACGUAGGCCUGCUGGCCCCCAGCAAAGGACUUGAUAUGCUGUACAAGAUACAAGAUAUCAAGAAAACCUUUCCUUGAGUCUUACAUGAAUGUGAGGUGGAUGGAGAUGUGUAGACUCCACUAUCCCUUCACCCCAGUUAUCGCCAGUGGUGGCGAGCCUCCACUCUUGCCGACUACAUCCCAUUCAUUAGGUUCGACAAUUUAUCCUUCAGCCCACAAGAGGAACCCAACAGAACCAAUGGAUCAGGAUGAAGCAUGACGGAAAGUCGGUGGUGUUUUGAGGGCCAAUCCGAAAGGUGAGGAAAUCUUCAAGGAGUGCACCCAGACUGAAACACUAACCGACGCAAAGUGUAAACAGAUGGUGAACAUCCUGGUUGCAGAUAUGAUGGAGCUGCAUGGGAGGGUUCUGCCAUCAUGUGUGAUGAGAAAUUACGCCCUGAGAAUUGUGACUUGUUUUCCAUACCUAGAAGAUCCAUUCUCCAAACCUGGAUAUCAUGCUUAGCUUAGCGGCAGUGGCUCAGGAGGUAGAGCAGGUCGUCCAGAAAUCGUAAGCUGUUUGGUGAGGAGUGCAGGGAGGCGCUAUCUACAAUAAGACAUUCAACUGAUGAAUCCGUGGUCAAAGAAGAUGAGAGCAACUUUCCAGUAUCGACAGAAUAUGAUCCAAGCACAAGAUGUAUCAUCGUCUGUUCUCAAUGUGUUCCCUCGCUUCCUUGAUGUUCCAGGAUUGAUUGACCAGGAUUUCUCAAUGAUGUUUGCUGAUGAAGUAUCUCAGAGGUUCCUGGCUAAGUGGUCAACUGUCUUCAAAGCAAAAGUCAUUGCAGACUUCAAGACUCUCCCGCAAAAGCAGAACAUUGAUGAGUUGCUGUCAGGAACUGAACCUCAACCUGAUGACAGCUGUGGGUGAGAAGUUAUGGUAUAGAUUACCAUGUUGGUGUGUUCAAAUGUACUGGAUGUAGCUUUGAUCUACCUGUAUUCAAGAAGAUCUGUGAUAUAAUAAAACACAAAGAAUGUGCUUUCAUAAUCGCCUGUAAUGUAGAAACAAUGUACUAUGAGGACCUGUUUAACGCGUACUGCAUAGAAGACCAAAUGCUUGAGUUUUCUGUCAUGUGUUUAAAUGAACUGACUCAUUUCAGACCAUUUGACAAGCAGCACUCUAAUGACAGUUGUCAAAAAGCAAACAUACUGUAGUGCCCUGCUGUUAUUUAAGCUGUCUGUUGGAAAUGAAAUGUUUUUUAAUAAAAUGUAUGAAGCAGUCAACUAGUCAUUUUUAAAAAAUGUUUAAAUUUUAUUUUGAAGUAGUAUAUUAACACUUUUAUAGUGUUAAUGUUGCAACUCCUUUUGAGAGUAAAAUGACACUAUAAGAGUCAAUAAAUGACUCUUAAGAGAAUUAAUUUGUGACACCUCACACUAGUGUUAAAAAAAUGCAACACCGGUUGGUGUCGAGGAGUGUUAAAUUUUAACUAUAUAAAUAGUUAAUAUUGACUCUACGAUGGUGUAAAAAUGGCUACACUUUCAAAAGUGUUAAAAUA